GUGAACUCCGUGACAACAGCGGUGGAAAUGCGAUAGUUCCAAUCGUUAAUAGGAAGGUAUGUGGUUUAAUGGACCGUAGGCAGUCCUUUAAGUCAGCAGUGCAAGUUAUUAGAUUAACUAGAAAAGUGGCAUUGAUACUGUAAGGAGAGAAUGUAUGUGAAUUAACUAGCAUAUGUAGAGUAGCGGAGAAAUGUUUAGAUAUGACAGGGAAUACCAAUUGCGAAGGCAGGUUACUAACAAAUGAUUGACGCAGAUGGACGAAAGCGUGGGUAGCGAACAGGAUUAGAUACCCGUGUAGUC
rnacentral:rRNA from 1 species